rnacentral:rRNA from 1 species
UACGUAGGCAGCGAGCGUUGUUCGGAAUUACUGGGCGUAAAGAGUGUGUAGGCGGUGUUCCCAGUCUGUUGUGAAAUCUCCCGGCUUAACUGGGAGGGUGCAGCGGAAACUAGAAUGCUAGAGGGUGGGAGAGGUAAGCGGAAUUCCUGGUGUAGCGGUGAAAUGCGCAGAUAUCAGGAGGAACACCGGUGGCGAAGGCGGAUCUCUGGGCCUUACCUGACGCUCAGGUGCGAAAGCUAGGGGAGCGAACAGG